rnacentral:rRNA from 1 species
AGUGAACGCUGGCGGUAGGCCUAACACAUGCAAGUCGAACGGCAGCACAGUAAGAGCUUGCUCUUACGGGUGGCGAGUGGCGGACGGGUGAGGUAUACAUCGGAAUCUACUUUUUCGUGGGGGAUAACGUAGGGAAACUUACGCUAAUACCGCAUACGACCUACGGGUGAAAGCAGGGGAUCUUCGGACCUUGCGCGAUUGAAUGAGCCGAUGUCGGAUUAGCUAGUUGGCGGGGUAAAGGCCCACCAAGGCGACGAUCCGUAGCUGGUCUGAGAGGAUGAUCAGCCACACUGGAACGGAGACACGGUCCAGACUCCUACGGGAGGCAGCAGUGGGGAAUAUUGGACAAUGGGCGCAAGCAUGAUCCAGCCAUACCGCGUGGGUGAAGAAGGCCUUCGGGUUGUAAAGCCCUUUUGUUGGGAAAGAAAAGCAGCAGGUUAAUACCCCGCUGUUCUGACGGUACCCAAAGAAUAAGCACCGGCUAACUUCGUG